AUACGAAGGGCCCGAGCGUUAAUCAGAAUCACUGGGCUUAAAGCGUACGUAGGCUGACGCGCAGGCACUUUGUGAAAUCCCUCGGCUCAACCGAGGAAUUGCUUGGUGAACCGCGUGUCUUGAGGCAAGUAGAGGCUGUCGGAACGAUAGGUGGAGCGGUGAAAUGCGUUGAUAUCUAUCGGAACGCCGAAGGAGAAAUCAGACAGCUGGGCUUGUUCUGACGCUGAGGUACGAAAGCGUGGGGAGCGAACGGGAUUAGAUACCCCGGUAGUCC
rnacentral:rRNA from 1 species